GGGCGAGUGGUUUAGUGGUAUAACGUUUCCCUCACACGGAAAAGAUCGCAGUUUCGAUUACUGCCUCGCCCACCA
rnacentral:tRNA from 1 species